rnacentral:lncRNA from 1 species
GACUAAAUAGCCACAGUGGCAAUUAAAGAGACUUGAAAGAGACACUGUCACUACACUAAAUAGCCACAGUGGCAAUUAAAGAGACAGACUAAAUAGCCACAGUGGCAAUGAAAGAGAGAGACUAAAGAGACACUAAAUAGCCACAGUGGCAAUCAAAGAGAGAGACUAAAGAGACACUAAAUAGCCACAGUGGCAAUGAAAGAGAGAGACUAAAGAGACACUAAAUAGCCACAGUGGCAAUUAAAGAGACACUAAA